UACAGAGGGUGCGAGCGUUAAUCGGAAUUACUGGGCGUAAAGCGUGCGUAGACGGUAGCGUAAGUCAGAUGUGAAAGCCCCGGGCUCAACCUGGGAAUUGCAUUUGAGACUGCUCUGCUCGGGUGCGGAAGAGGGAAGCGGAAUUUCCGGUGUAGCGGUGAAAUGCGUAGAUAUUGGAAGGAACACCAGUGGCGAAAGCGGCUUCCUGGUCCGACACCGACGUUCAGGCACGAAAGCGUGGGGAGCAAACAGG
rnacentral:rRNA from 1 species